rnacentral:rRNA from 1 species
ACGGAGGGUGCAAGCGUUAUCCGGAUUCACUGGGUUUAAAGGGUGCGUAGGAGGGCAGGUAAGUCAGUGGUGAAAUCCCCGAGCCUAACUUGGGAACUGCCAUUGAUACUAUCUGUCUUGAAUAUUGUGGAGGUGAGCGGAAUAUGUCAUGUAGCGGUGAAAUGCUUAGAUAUAACAUAGAACACCAAUUGCGAAGGCAGCUGGCUACACGAAUAUUGACACUGAUGCACGAAAGCGUGGGGAUCAAACAGGA